CACGGUUUUUUUUGAAUGGGUACUACAAAACUUCUUAUCAACUUCCCGGUUUUUUUUUAUUUUUUAUUUUUAAAUUUUUUUUGCAACAGCUGUGUAGUGUGUUAUCUGUGUCCUGUGUCGAAUUGUCGAUGUUAUAACUAUCAACUAUCUAUUAACUGAAUUAUUUCUUUUUCAAAAGCUACCUAUGUAAAAUUGCGAUUCUGAAAUUUUAAGGAAAUGGCAAACCAAUAAUGACUUACGGAGAGAUUUGUUGAGAAUAUAAAAUGGUGAAUCAAGAUUGAACUUGUUUACUUUUUUCGUUAUAUUUUCAACUGUGAACUAGUCUAAUAUCGAAGUUUGUGAAGCUAAAGCUGUGCAAAAUCGGAGAAUGAAGUGAUAACUGAAUAUGCUAUUAAUUGUGUCUUUAUUCUGAAUUUGUGCAUGACUGUCCACAAUUCUAUUGGUGCUCAACAGUCAACAUUUUGACACCCCGUGAUCAGUUAAUGUAUCAAGGCCUCAAAGAUAUGAGUCAAGACGACGUGUAUGAAGUCAACAGUAUAGUCGAUAAAAGGUUGGUGAGGAACUCCGAAUCAGAAGAAGAGUUCAAAAUUCGAUGGCAAGGUUACGGGCCUAAUGAUGAUACUUGGCAAACAGAAAGUGAUUGCAUUCCGUCUUGUUACGAUCUCGUAAUAAAUUUAGAAACGACUUUGUUCCAACGAAAUCAGCGAAAAUUCCUUAGAAGCGAAAUAAUUGGAUGGAAGAGAGAUCCUUCAAAUCGAAUAAAAUUGCUCGUUGAAUGGCAAACUAGAGCUUCAAGUACAGUUGAAUUUUACUAUUCUUCAGUCCUACAGACUCACGUUACACACAUGCUGAUCGACUAUUAUGAAGAGAAUAUCCCAGUACCCGACCAAAAUCCAGAAUUGGCUCACUUUUACGAUUCAUUAUUUGGGACCACAGCCGUUGACGAAUCUGAUAAACCACAAAAGAUUAUUGCUUUUGCGUUAUUUAGAGGAGUUAGAUGGUACUUGAUCUCUUGGAUGGAUCAGGAUGAAUGUUCUGUUGUUAAUCACAAUUUUCUAAGAACAAGAUAUCCUGAAUUACUUAUUGAAUUUUACGAAAAACAUUUAUUACCGAGGGAGAAUCCCGUAUGAGAAAAUACAAUUCCAUUGAUGAAGGAAUUUGGCCUGUACUUUUUCAUGAUGUUCGUUUUAUUGUAAUUAUGCUAUUAUUCUAAUAAUCUAAGUUGUAGUAGUUCGGUAUUACUACUUUCACUUGGAAAUGCGAAAUUUAAAAAAAAUGUAUGGUACGAAAGUGUAUUGUAAUCAAAUUUAAAUAUAAUGAAAAAUUACGUAUGUUCA